GCUUGUCUCAAAGAUUAAGCCAUGCAUGUCUAAGUGUAAAUAAGUCUAUACUGUGAAACUGCGAAUGGCUCAUUAAAUCAGUUAUCGUUUAUUUGAUGAUCUCUUACUACUUGGAUAACCGUAGUAAUUCUAGAGCUAAUACAUGCGUCAAAGGGGCUUUACGGCUUCUGUAUUUAUUAGAUACAACCAGCUCCGCAAGGAUUUUGGUGAAUCAUAAUAACUGAACGAACCGCUUCAUUGCGGUGGUUCAUUCAAGUUUCUGCCCUAUCAGCUUUCGAUGGUAGGGUAUUGGCCUACCAUGGCGUUAACGGGUAACGGAGAAUUAGGGUUCGAUUCCGGAGAGGGAGCCUGAGAGAUGGCUACCACAUCCAAGGAAGGCAGCAGG
rnacentral:rRNA from 1 species